rnacentral:rRNA from 1 species
CCUACGGGAGGCAGCAGUGGGGAAUAUUGGGCAAUGGAGGAAACUCUGACCCAGCAACGCCGCGUGAAUGAUGAAGGUCCUCGGAUUGUAAAGUUCUUUUCUAAGGGAAGAAGAAAGUGACGGUACCUUAGGAAUAAGCCUCGGCUAACUACGUGCCAGCAGCCGCGGUAAUACGGAGGAGGCAAGCGUUAUCCGGAUUGACUGGGUGUAAAGGGUGCGUAGGUGGAUUGAUAAGUUGGUGGCGUAACUUCGAGGCUGAACCUCGGCACUACUACCAAGACUGUCGGACUUGAGUGCAGGUGGGGCAGCUGGAAUGCCUGGUGUAGCGGUGGAAUGCGUAGAGAUUAGGAAGAACACCAGUGGCGAAGGCGGGUUGCUGGACUAUAACUGACACUGAGGCACGAAAGCGUGGGGAGCAAACAGGAUUAGAUACCCUGGUAGUC